GCCCCCGUAACCCCGUUAACCGCGAGAACCUCUCUCCUGAAGCGGGUGUCGCAGGUUCGCGUCCUGCCGGGGGGCA
rnacentral:tRNA from 1 species